AGGACGAACGCUGGCGGCGUGCUUAACACAUGCAAGUCGAGCGGAAAGGCCCACUUGUGGGUACUCGAGCGGCGAACGGGUGAGUAACACGUGAGUAAUCUGGCCUGCACUUGGGGAUAGCUUCGGGAAACCGAGAUUAAUACCCGAUAUGACAUUGUCACGCAUGUGGUGGUGUGGAAAGUCCUGGCUUUUGGUUGGGGUGGUGGAGGAUGUGCUCGCGGCCUAUCAGCUUGUUGGUGGGGUAAUGGCCUACCAAGGCUUCGACGGGUAGCCGGCCUGAGAGGGUGACCGGUCACACUGGGACUGAGACACGGCCCAGACUCCUACGGGAGGCAGCAGUGGGGAAUAUUGGACAAUGGGCGAAAGCCUGAUCCAGCAACGCCGCGUGAGGGAUGACGGCCUUCGGGUUGUAAAAUCCUUUCGUCGGGGACGAUAAUGACGGUACCCGAAGAAGAAGCUCCGGCUAACUUCGUGCCAGCAGCCGC
rnacentral:rRNA from 1 species